rnacentral:tRNA from 1 species
GAUUCCGUAGUGUAGUGGUUAUCACGUGCGCCUCACACGCGCAAGGUCCCCGGUUCGAGCCCGGGCGGAAUCU